UCGCACGAGAAAGGGGAGCAAUCCCUGAGUACAGUGGCGUACGGGUGAGUAACACGUGGAUGAUCUACCUUCUAGUGGGGAAUAACCCUGGGAAACCGGGGCUAAUACCGCAUAAGCUCGAGAGAGGAAAGCAGCAAUGCGCUGGAAGAGGAGUCCGCGGCCGAUUAGCUAGUUGGCAGGGUAAAAGCCUACCAAGGCAGAGAUCGGUAGCCGGCCUGGGAGGGCACACGGCCACACUGGCACUGAAACACGGGCCAGACUCCUACGGGAGGCAGCAGUGGGGAAUCUUGCACAAUGGGGGAAACCCUGAUGCAGCGACGCCGCGUGAGCGAUGAAGCCCUUCGGGGUGUAAAGCUCUUUCGGCAGGGAAGAUGAUGACGGUACCUGCAGAAGCAGCUGCGGCUAACUACGUGCCAGCAGCCGCGGUAAUACGUAGGCAGCGAGCGUUGUUCGGAGUUACUGGGCGUAAAGGGUGUGUAGGCGGUUGUUUAAGUUUGGUGUGAAAUCUCCCGGCUCAACUGGGAGGGUGCGCCGAAUACUGAAUGACUCGAGUGCGGGAGAGGAGAGUGGAAUUCCUGGUGUAGCGGUGAAAUGCGUAGAUAUCAGGAGGAACACCGGUGGUGUAGACGGCUCUCUGGACCGUAACUGACGCUGAGACACGAAAGCGUGGGUAGCAAACAGGAUUAGAUACCCUGGUAGUCCACGCCCUAAACGAUGCAUAUUUGGUGUGGGCAGUUCAUUCUGUCCGUGCCG
rnacentral:rRNA from 1 species